rnacentral:rRNA from 1 species
CAUACGGGAGGCAGCAGUGGGGAAUAUUGCACAAUGGGGGAAACCCUGAUGCAGCGACGCCGCGUGAAGGAAGAAGUAUUUCGGUAUGUAAACCUCUUUUGUCGGGGAGCAAAAGACGCCACGUGUGGCGUUCCGAGAGUACCCGAAGAAAAAGCAUCGGCUAACUCCGUGCCAGCAGCCGCGGUAAUACGGAGGAGGCGAGCGUUAUCCGGAUUUAUUGGGUUUAGAGGGUGCGCAGGCGGAAGAUCAAGUCAGCGGUAAAAUUGAGAGGCUCAACCUCAUCGAGCCG